rnacentral:rRNA from 1 species
UACGGGGGGGGCAAGCGUUGUUCGGAAUUACUGGGCGUAAAGGGCUCGUAGGCGGCCAACUAAGUCGGAUGUGAAAUCCCCAGGCUUAACCUGGGAACUGCAUCCGAUACUGGAUGGCUUGAAUCCGGGAGAGGGAUGCGGAAUUCCAGGUGUAGCGGUGAAAUGCGUAGAUAUCUGGAGGAACACCGGUGGCGAAGGCGGGUAGCUGGGCCGACACUGACGCUGAGGCGCGAAAGCCAGGGGAGCGAACGGG